UGUCAGCUUGUAUGGGGUUGUAACUGCAUCUGCACUUUUAAAACUUUAGGCUUGCUGCUCAAAGAAAAGCUACAGCUCUCAAAAGUAUACUUUUGUUUAUGAGGGAAAAGUCUGGAAACUUCCUGAAGUCUUGCCUGGACACAGACCCAGAAGACACUCACACAGAAGGGAUGAAGAAGGGAGUCUUAACUGUCGUUGAAGAUGAUGUUGCCACCAUCCAUUCAAACCCAAAUGUAAGGUGCCUGUCUGUGGUUUUAGAGGAGCAAGUUGUGCUGGAUAAUGUGCAAGACUUCCCUACAGCUGUUGCUCUUCUAUUUUACUUGAUUUAUGCCAUCAAAAUCCUUCGCUAUCCUAAAGAACUAAAAUACACGUUUGAAACUAUUCAGAAAGUGUUUAUUGGCCUUGACCCCCAGUGCUCUGCA